GGGGUCCUUGGGCAGGCAGUUGGUCCUAGGCAAAGAAAAAAGGGCAGAGCUGCCCUAGCUGAGAGGGUGGAAGGCCAUGUGCCCCCCCCAACCACGAUGGGCGCUAGGAGUCAGAUACAAUUACUCUCUCAGUGUAUCAUAAUUACUGCAAAUAGCCCAUUAAAGAGAAAUUAUCAUCAAUAUGAUAUUAGCAGACAGCGGGGGAAAUGAAGAAAGAAAAGUGCUUAUUCUCUCAUUGUCCCCUUAAUGGGGACAAGGGGUGGAGAGGCAGUGGCCCCUGUUCACUGACCUCACCUCCCUGCCCACUGCAUGGAGCCACGAAGGACCCGGCAGGCUGGGAGCCAAGGCAUGACCCUGGAAACAGCAGUGCAGGAAGAGCGGGUGCCAUGGGUGGAGUCGGACCUGCCUCUGCCCACUGUCGGGGGCUCCGCUGUCGCCUCCCAAACCUGGCUUUAGUCCAGCUUGGGUGGCUCGGGCCUCCCUUGAGGUAGCCUCUGCUGCGCCCCCACCCCCACCGUGAACCCUCCAAGGGAAGGCCCUGGAGUAGGAGGGGUCUUGGUUCAGCCUGUCCUGAGCUUGUGGCCCUUUAAAUCCUGGGAACCAGGCUCCACUAGACGUGGCCUCUGGAGCACAGGUCUCUCCCAAACAUCACCAAAAUGACCGAAGAGGAAGAGGGAGGUGCCGUUUGCAGGAAAGAGAGAACGGGAGUGGAGCAGCAGCCACCAGUGAGGGAAGAGGUGGCAAAGUGCUCCAUGGCUGGGGUGCCUAUCUUGGCAGAGUGGAGCAGAUGCAAUGACACCAGCAGCCCAUAGUCCCCAGGCAGGAGAGCAGAGGAGCCUUCCUUGAAAAACUCAAUGGCCAGAGGAAAAAGACCAGCCUCUCAAAAUGAUAGAUUCCCCAUUGCCUGGUCCUCUACAGAAAGGCCCAUCUGCCGACAAGACCACUGCCACCCUCUGCCACCCUCCACCACCCUCCGCCAGGUCACCAGAAUGCCAGGCCUCACUCAUGAUCAGCUGAGCACCAGCAGGCAGGUGAGAAGAGCCUCCAGUGUGGAGCAGGUCAACCAGCAACAGAGCCAGGGAGACCCAUGGAGUCCAGAGAAAACGGUAACAACGGCAGCAGCACCCAGAGACUGGCUCCCAGUGAGUUAAGCCCAGCCGCGACCCUUGGAUGUGCCAGCUGAUUUAAUACUCAUGAUAAACCCAGUAGGUCAGUGCCAGUAUUAUGAGAGAAGUGAGGCACAGAAUGUCACAUCCACCUCCCCAAAGUCAACAGCUAGGAGUGACAGAGCCAGGAUUCUGCCAGGCAGGUUGGCCUCAGAGGCCACACUUCUUAUCCCAAUAAUAAAAGUGAACAAGAACAGGAUGAAGUUAGAGUGAGAGAGCGAGAGUGGUAACACUCAUGCAAUCAGAGAACAAGAGAAAGCUCAAUGGAAACAUGUAUUCACUGACAGGAUUAAAACACAAAACAACAAAAAGAGAGACG
rnacentral:lncRNA from 1 species